GCCCCGGCCGGUCUUAUGAGUUACCUCAGGUCAGACUUCGCCUAUUUUUUUCUUCCUGACAGUAGUUGCCUCAGGCGGCGCCCGGUUAAUGUUGGUCCGUCAUUGUUAUCACUCCGGUGGCGGGCAAGUUAGUCAUUUCAAUUUUCCUGCUUCGUCUUCGUGUUGCCUCGGGUC